CCCUUAGAUGUUCUGGGCCGCACGCGUGCUACACUGAGUGGAUCAGCGGGUCAGGUUGCGCGAAAGUGUUUCCUAAUCUUGAAAUCCGCUCGUGAUGGGGAUUGACGGUUGCAAUUUUCCGUCAUGAACGAGGAAUACCUUGUAAGCGCGGGUCAUCAUCCCGCGCUGAAUACGUCCCUGCCCUUUGUACACACCGCCCGUCGCUCCUACCGAUUGAGUGGUCCGGUGAGGCUUUGGGAUCUGAGCGGAAAGAGCGUUUCGCUGUUUCUGCCCGGAAAACUCAGUCGAACCUUAUCAUUUAGAGGAAGGAGAAGGCGUAACA
rnacentral:rRNA from 1 species